rnacentral:rRNA from 1 species
CAAUAGCGUAUAUUUAAGUUGUUGCAGUUAAAAAGCUCGUAGUCGGAUUUUGGCUGAGAACGAUCGGUCCGCCGUUAGGUGUGCACUGAUUGGUCUCAGCUUCCUGGUGAGGAGGUGUGCUUCACGGCCACUUAGUCACCGUGGUUACUUUGAAAAAAUUAGAGUGUUCAAAGCGGGCUUACGCUUGAAUAUAUUAGCAUGGAAUAACACCAUAGGACUCCUGUCCUAUUUCGUUGGUCUCGGGACGGGAGUAAUGAUUAAGAGGAACAGUUGGGGGCAUUCGUAUUUCAUUGUCAGAGGUGAAAUUCUUGGAUUUAUGAAAGACGAACUUCUGCGAAAGCAUUUGCCAAGGAUGUUUUCACUGA